rnacentral:rRNA from 1 species
ACUCCUACGGGAGGCAGCAGUGGGGAAUAUUGCGCAAUGGGGGAAACCCUGACGCAGCAACGCCGCGUGAGUGAAGAAGGCCUUAGGGUUGUAAAGCUCUGUCAUAUGGGAAGAUAAUGACGGUACCAUAAGAGGAAGCCACGGCUAACUACGUGCCAGCAGCCGCGGUAAUACGUAGGUGGCGAGCGUUGUCCGGAUUUACUGGGCGUAAAGGAUGCGUAGGCGGAUAUUUAAGUGGGAUGUGAAAUACCCGAGCUCAACUCGGGUGCUGCAUUCCAAACUGGAUAUCUAGAGUGUCGGAGAGGAAAGCGGAAUUCCUAGUGUAGCGGUGAAAUGCGUAGAGAUUAGGAAGAACACCAGUGGCGAAGGCGGCUUUCUGGACGAUAACUGACGCUGAGGCAUGAAGCGUGGGGAGCAAACAGGAUUAGAUACCCUGGUAGGCGUAG